rnacentral:tRNA from 1 species
GCGGAGGUGGCGCAAACAGGCAGACGCACCAGUCUCAGACGCUGGCUCAUGCGGGUUCAACUCCCGCCCUCCGCAUCA